rnacentral:rRNA from 1 species
GACGAACGCUGGCGGCGUGCUUAACACAUGCAAGUCGAACGGAAAGGCCCUGCUUUUGUGGGGUGCUCGAGUGGCGAACGGGUGAGUAACACGUGAGUAACCUGCCCUUGACUUUGGGAUAACUUCAGGAAACUGGGGCUAAUACCGGAUAGGAGCUCCUGCUGCAUGGUGGGGGUUGGAAAGUUUCGGCGGUUGGGGAUGGACUCGCGGCUUAUCAGCUUGUUGGUGGGGUAGUGGCUUACCAAGGCUUUGACGGGUAGCCGGCCUGAGAGGGUGACCGGCCACAUUGGGACUGAGAUACGGCCCAGCCUCCUACGGGAGGCAGCAGUGGGGAAUACUGCACAAUGGGCGGAAGCCUGAUGCAGCAACGCCGCGUGCGGGAUGACGGCCUUCGGGUUGUAAACCGCUUUCGCCUGUGACGAAGCGUGAGUGACGGUAAUGGGUAAAGAAGCACCGGCUAACUACGUG